GACGUAGGGCGCGAGCGUUGUCCGGAUUUAUUGGGCGUAAAGAGCUCGUAGGCGGCUUGUCGCGUCGUUCGUGAAACCUGCAGCUCAACUGCAGGCUUGCGGUCGAUACGGGCAGGCUAGAGUUCGGUAGGGGAGACUGGAAUUCCUGGUGUAGCGGUGGAAAUGACGCAGAUAUCAGGAGGAACACCGGUGGCGAAGGCGGGUCUCUGGGCCGAUACUGACGCUGAGGAGCGAAAGCGUGGGGAGCGAACAGG
rnacentral:rRNA from 1 species